CUGCUUUGGCAGCACAUGUACUAAAAUUGGAACGAUACAGAGAGGAUUAGCAUCACCCCUGGGCAAGGAUGACACACAAAUUCAUGAAGUGUGUCAUGUUGUC